AUACCUUUCUCGGCCUUUUGGCUAAGAUCAAGUGUAGUAUCUGUUCUUAUCAGUUUAAUAUCUGAUACGUGGACCAUUAGUCCACAUGAUAUUAAAUUAAUUUCUUUUAAGGGGAGGGCCCAUCUCAAUAGCUUGCUAUUGGGGUUCUCAUGCGUUGCUUAGGCGUUGCACUAUAGCCUAGGCUUGGCACACCCCAC